ACACACACACACCUUAAUAUAUAAAAUUCAUAAACUAGUUAUCUCCCUAAUCCCUCUCACCAUCACAUUCAGUCUGUCAUUUAUCCUUUUAUCCUUAGUGCCAAGGGCAAUACUUGUUGAGGUAGGCAUGAAAUAUCUAUGUGAUAAGAUAGGCCUUAAACUGAUAGAUGCAGUCAGAGAUAGUGGAAUAUUCUGAACAGAUUCAGGAGAAGAAAGUAGCCAGAUCACCACCUCCAUAACUUCUAUGCUUAAAAACUUUAUCUUACAUUAAGUUAAAAAAAAACAUCAACAGUUCUAAACAAAAGAGUGGUGUGUCCAUAAGUGUGCCUUUGUUCCUGAAAUUUGGUAAUGGCUGGUGAUGGACAGUAGGUUCAGUUAAGAGGUGAUUGUAAUAAUCUGUUAAAGAGGACUCAGAACAUCUGGCAGGACUGGGGGACAGAAUAG